GAUGAACGCUAGCUACAGGCUUAACACAUGCAAGUCGAGGGGCAGCAUGGUCUUAUCUUGCUAAGGCCGAUGGCGACCGGCGCACGGGUGAGUAACACGUAUCCAACCUGCCGUCUACUCUUGGACAGCCUUCUGAAAGGAAGAUUAAUACAAGAUGGCAUCAUGAGUCCGCAUGUUCACAUGAUUAAAGGUAUUCCGGUAGACGAUGGGGAUGCGUUCCAUUAGAUAGUAGGCGGGGUAACGGCCCACCUAGUCUUCGAUGGGUAGGGGUUCUGAGAGGAAGGUCCCCCACAUUGGAACUGAGACACGGUCCAAACUCCUACGGGAGGCAGCAGUGAGGAAUAUUGGUCAAUGGGCGAGAGCCUGAACCAGCCAAGUAGCGUGAAGGAUGACUGCCCUAUGGGUUGUAAACUUCUUUUAUAAAGGAAUAAAGUCGGGUAUGGAUACCCGUUUGCAUGUACUUUAUGAAUAAGGAUCGGCUAACUCCGUGCCAGCAGCCGCGGUAAUACGGAGGAUCCGAGCGUUAUCCGGAUUUAUUGGGUUUAAAGGGAGCGUAGAUGGAUGUUUAAGUCAGUUGUGAAAGUUUGCGGCUCAACCGUAAAAUUGCAGUUGAUACUGGAUAUCUUGAGUGCAGUUGAGGCAGGCGGAAUUCGUGGUGUAGCGGUGAAAUGCUUAGAUAUCACGAAGAACUCCGAUUGCGAAGGCAGCCUGCUAAGCUGCAACUGACAUUGAGGCUCGAAAGUGUGGGUAUCAAACAGGAUUAGAUACCCUGGUAGUCCACACGGUAAACGAUGAAUGCUCGCUGUUUGCGAUAUACAGCAAGCGGCCAAGCGAAAGCGUUAAGUAUUCCACCUGGGGAGUACGCCGGCAACGGUGAAACUCAAAGGAAUUGACGGGGGCCCGCACAAGCGGAGGAACAUGUGGUUUAAUUCGAUGAUACGCGAGGAACCCUACCCGGGCUUAAAUUGCAGAUGAAUUACGGUGAAAGCCGUAAGCCGCAAGGCAUCUGUGAAGGUGCUGCAUGGUUGUCGUCAGCUCGUGCCGUGAGGUGUCGGCUUAAGUGCCAUAACGAGCGCAACCCUUGUUGUCAGUUACUAACAGGUUCCGCUGAGGACUCUGACAAGACUGCCAUCGUAAGAUGUGAGGAAGGUGGGGAUGACGUCAAAUCAGCACGGCCCUUACGUCCGGGGCUACACACGUGUUACAAUGGGGGGUACAGAGGGUCGCUACCACGCGAGUGGAUGCCAAUCCCCAAAACCUCUCUCAGUUCGGACUGGAGUCUGCAACCCGACUCCACGAAGCUGGAUUCGCUAGUAAUCGCGCAUCAGCCACGGCGCGGUGAAUACGUUCCCGGGCCUUGCAC
rnacentral:rRNA from 1 species